UACAGAGGUCUCAAGCGUUGUUCGGAUUCAUUGGGCGUAAAGGGUGCGUAGGCGGCGCGGUAAGUCGGGUGUGAAAUCUCGGGGCUUAACUCCGAAACUGCAUUCGAUACUGCCGUGCUUGAGGACUGGAGAGGAGACUGAAUUUACGGUGUAGCGGUGAAAUGCGUAGAUAUCGUAAGGAAGACCAGUGGCGAAGGCGGGUCUCUGGACAGUUCCUGACGCUGAGGCACGAAGGCCCAGGGGAGCAAACAGG
rnacentral:rRNA from 1 species